rnacentral:rRNA from 1 species
GUAUAACAAUCGAAACCGCAUGGUUUUGAUUUGAAAGGCGCUUUCGGGUGUCGCUGAUGGAUGGACCCGCGGUGCAUUAGCUAGUUGGUGAGGUAACGGCUCACCAAGGCCACGAUGCAUAGCCGACCUGAGAGGGUGAUCGGCCACAUUGGGACUGAGACACGGCCCAAACUCCUACGGGAGGCAGCAGUAGGGAAUCUUCGGCAAUGGACGAAAGUCUGACCGAGCAACGCCGCGUGAGUGAAGAAGGUUUUCGGAUCGUAAAACUCUGUUGUUAGAGAAGAACAAGGAUGAGAGUAACUGUUCAUCCCUUGACGGUAUCUAACCAGAAAGCCACGGCUAACUACGUGCCAGCAGCCGCGGUAAUACGUAGGUGGCAAGCGUUGUCCGGAUUUAUUGGGCGUAAAGCGAGCGCAUGCGGUUUCUUAAGUCUGAUGUGAAAGCCCCCGGCUCAACCGGGGAGGGUCAUUGGAAACUGGGAGACUUGAGUGCAGAAGAGGAGAGUGGAAUUCCAUGUGUAGCGGUGAAAUGCGUACAUAUAUGGAGGAACACCAGUGGCGAAGGCGGCUCUCUGGUCUGUAACUGACGCUGAGGCUCGAAAGCGUGGGGAGCAAACAGGAUUAGAUACCCUGGUAGUCCACGCCGUAAACGAUGAGUGCUAAGUGUUGGAGGGUUUCCGCCCUUCAGUGCUGCAGCUAACGCAUUAAGCACUCCGCCUGGGGAGUACGACCGCAAGGUUGAAACUCAAAGGAAUUGACGGGGGCCCGCACAAGCGGUGGAGCAUGUGGUUUAAUUCGAAGCAACGCGAAGAACCUUACCAGGUCUUGACAUCCUUUGACCACUCUAGAGAUAGAGCUUCCCCUUCGGGGGCAAAGUGACAGGUGGUGCAUGGUUGUCGUCAGCUCGUGUCGUGAGAUGUUGGGUUAAGUCCCGCAACGAGCGCAACCCUUAUUGUUAGUUGCCAUCAUUCAGUUGGGCACUCUAGCAAGACUGCCGGUGACAAACCGGAGGAAGGUGGGGAUGACGUCAAAUCAUCAUGCCCCUUAUGACCUGGGCUACACACGUGCUACAAUGGGAAGUACAACGAGUUGCGAAGUCGCGAGGCUAAGCUAAUCUCUUAAAGCUUCUCUCAGUUCGGAUUGCAGGCU